rnacentral:lncRNA from 1 species
UUUCUUUCUUUCUUUAGGGCCCGAGCGUAGCUGCUAAGCAGCUGCGAGAGCCCUCUUGUUCCUGCAUGUUUCCUUCUUUUGUUAUUAGGGCCCGAGCGUAGCUGCUAAGCAGCUGCGAGAGCCCUAUUAUUCCCCAAGUGGUUUUUCUUUGUUUCUUUUUUCUUUUUCCUCCCCUUUGAACUGGAAAAUGGCCCACUUCCCACUGGCGAAAACUCAUGAAAUUUGGCAGGACGACCGGGCCUGGUGAAAAAUUUGAUAUUCCGAAGUCGCCCAAACAAGAAAAUGCAAAAUGGCUCCAUAGCGCCCCCUAAGGUGAAAAUUCACAC